ACCGCAGCCGCGUGCGGCCGGGCGACGAAGUCUACGGCACCUCGCAAGACCUGUGGUCGGGCCUGUUCAAGGCCGGCCUGCGGCUC
rnacentral:tRNA from 1 species